AUUGAACGCUGGCGGCAUGCCUUACACAUGCCAGUCGAACGGUAACAGGUCUUCUGAUGCUGACGAGUGGCGAACGGGUGAGUAAUACAUCGGAACGUGCCCGAUCGUGGGGGAUAACGAGGCGAAAGCUUUGCUAAUACCGCAUACGAUCUACGGAUGAAAGCGGGGGAUGUUCGGACCUCGCGCGGACGGAGCGGCCGAUGGCAGAUUAGGUAGUUGGUGGGAUAAAAGCUUACCAAGCCGACGAUCUGUAGCUGGACUGAGAGGAUGAUCAGCCACACUGGGACUGAGACACGGCCCAGACUCCUACGGGAGGCAGCAGUGGGGAAUUUUGGACAAUGGGCGAAAGCCUGAUCCAGCCAUGCCGCGUGCAGGAUGAAGGCCUUCGGGUUGUAAACUGCUUUUGUACGGAACGAAAAGCCUCUUUCUAAUAAAGAGGGGUCAUGACGGUACCGGAAGAAUAAGCACCGGCUAACUACGUG
rnacentral:rRNA from 1 species